rnacentral:tRNA from 1 species
GCAGCGGUAGUUCAGUUGGUUAGAAUACCGGCCUGUCACGCCGGGGGUCGCGGGUUCGAGCCCCGUUCGCUGCGCCA